CUACUUUCAGAUGCAUGCAAGAGGUUCUUACAAUUUAAGCUCUUAUCUUAUCAGUUGGCGGCCUCCUCCUUUAGAUUGAGUGAAAUUGAAUACUGAUAGUGCUAGUAAAAACAGUGACUGAGUUGGUUGUCGGGGUGUGAUUCGCGAACCCAAUGGUAACUGGUUUGUAUGGGUUCUAUAAAUGUAUCACUAGUUGCAAUGCUUUUUUUGCUGAGUUGCGGGGGGUUUGGAAGGGUUGCAAUUAACGUGUAUGAGGGGCUAUAAAACAGGAGAGCUGUGUCUGUUGAACCAAAGGUUGUUGGUGGAUAUUUUUAACAAGAAAGAUGUUUGCUAUGUUAUGGCGUGGAGUUUAAUCCAACCCAACAUACUCGUAGGCUUCUUCAGAUAGAUUGGAAAGUGAAAGGGUGCCAUUUUUAUUGUGGCAUUGAUGUUUUGACUUACAUGGAAUGUGAUAGUAUUAAGUUCUUGAUUUUUUUUUAUUUUUUUUUUGAACAAGCCAAAAUGGAAUUAUAUUACGACACCGAUAGCAGUUCCCAAGCACAAGGUGUGCCUAAGAGACCACUACAAAUAUACAAAAGGGAACAAUGUCAAAAGGAGAAAAAACCACCGUGGUUAGCCAAUACCUCGACAAGAUUAUUAAGUUCUUGAUUUUGUUUAUUUGUUUUACAAGCGUAGUGUGUUCUUGAUUGUUGUUUCUUGCUUAUGUUAUGGGAGUUAGUAGUUCUCAUUCGAUUUCUCCUUGAUUGUUCUUCUUUGGGCUUAGAUCCUCUUUCAUUCCAAAAUAAAAAAGAAAUGUUCAUACACUGAAACUUAUUUAAGCAAAAUGGUGAAUCCUAAUAUCAUAACAGACUCGCACAUUGGCAA
rnacentral:lncRNA from 1 species